AGAGUUUGAUCCUGGCUCAGAUUGAACGCUGGCGGCAUGCUUACACAUGCAAGUCGAACGGCAGCACGGGAGCAAUCCUGGUGGCGAGUGGCGAACGGGUGAGUAAUACAUCGGAACGUGCCCAGUAGUGGGGGAUAGCCCGGCGAAAGCCGGAUUAAUACCGCAUACGACCUACGGGUGAAAGCGGGGGAUCGCAAGACCUCGCGCUAUUGGAGCGGCCGAUGGCAGAUUAGCUUGUUGGUGGGGUAAAAGCCUACCAAGGCGACGAUCUGUAGCUGGUCUGAGAGGACGACCAGCCACACUGGGACUGAGACACGGCCCAGACUCCUACGGGAGGCAGCAGUGGGGAAUUUUGGACAAUGGGCGCAAGCCUGAUCCAGCCAUGCCGCGUGUGGGAAGAAGGCCUUCGGGUUGUAAACCACUUUUGUCAGGGAAGAAACGGCCUAAUCUAAUAAAUUGGGCUAAUGACGUACCUGAAGAAU
rnacentral:rRNA from 1 species